AUUGAACGCUGGCGGCAGGCCUAAUACAUGCAAGUCGAACGAGUGGCGGACGGGUGAGUAAUGUCUGGGAAACUGCCUGAUGGAGGGGGAUAACUACUGGAAACGGUAGCUAAUACCGCAUACCAUCAGAUGUGCCCAGAUGGGAGUAGCUGGUUGGUGGGGUAACGGCUCACCAAGGCGUCGAUCCCUAGCUGGUCUGAGAGGAUGACCAGCCACACUGGAACUGAGACACGGUCCAGACUCCGACGGGAGGCAGCAGUGGGGAAUAUUGCGCAAUGGGCGCAAGCCUGAUGCAGCCAUGCCGAGUGUAUGAAGAAGGCCUUCGGGUUGUAAAGCACUUUCAGCGGGGAGGCGUUACCCGAAGAAGAAGCACCGGCUAACUCCGUGCCAGCAGCCGCGGUAAUUC
rnacentral:rRNA from 1 species